rnacentral:rRNA from 1 species
UACAGAGGUCUCGAGCGUUGUUCGGAUUCAUUGGGCGUAAAGGGCGCGUAGGCGGCGGGGUAAGUCUGGUGUGAAAUCUCGGAGCUCAACUCCGAAACUGCACUGGAUACUGCUCUGCUAGAGGGCUGGAGAGGAGAUCGGAAUUCACGGUGUAGCAGUGAAAUGCGUAGAUAUCGUGAGGAAGACCAGUGGCGAAGGCGGAUCUC